GGUUUUUUAUAAAUAAAAAAUCUUUACCUGCUCAAUGAAAAUUAAAUAGCUGCAGUAAUUUAACUGUACAAAGGUAGCAUAAUCAUUAGUUUUUUAAUUAAGGACUGGAAUGAAGGGUUGGACGAAAAAAUAUCUUUUUUAUAGAUAAAUUUAGAAUUUUAUUUUUUAGUGAGAAAGCUAAAAUAUGUUUGAGGGACGAUAAGACCCUAUAGAGCUUAAGAUAUAAAAUAUUAAGAAUUUUAUGUAAAAUUUUUAUUAUUAUUAUCUUUUACUGGGGCGGUAAAGUUAUAUCAAAUUUUUGAUAAGUUUAAGAUCGAUUAAUUUAUAAUAAGAAAAAGUUACCUUAGGGAUAACAGUAUAAUUAUUUUUGAGAGUACAAAUUGACAAAAUAGUUUAUAA
rnacentral:rRNA from 1 species